rnacentral:rRNA from 1 species
UACGAAGGGGGCUAGCGUUGCUCGGAAUGACUGGGCGUAAAGGGCGCGUAGGCGGCUUGCCAAGUCAGGGGUGAAAUCUUUCGGCUCAACCGGAAAAGUGCUUCUGAUACUGGCGGGCUGGAGGAGGGUAGGGGCGGGCGGAACUUCCGGUGGAGCGGUGAAAUGCGUAGAUAUCGGAAGGAACGCCGGUGGCGAAAGCGGCCCGCUGGACCCUUUCUGACGCUGAUGCGCGAAAGCCAGGGGAGCAAACGGG